rnacentral:rRNA from 1 species
AUUGAACGCUGGCGGCAGGCCUAACACAUGCAAGUCGAGCGGAUGAAGGGAGCUUGCUCCUGGAUUCAGCGGCGGACGGGUGAGUAAUGCCUAGGAAUCUGCCUGGUAGUGGGGGAUAACGUCCGGAAACGGGCGCUAAUACCGCAUACGUCCUGAGGGAGAAAGUGGGGGUUCUUCGGACCUCACGCUAUCAGAUGAGCCUAGGUCGGAUUAGCUAGUUGGUGGGGUAAAGGCCUACCAAGGCGACGAUCCGUAACUGGUCUGAGAGGAUGAUCAGUCACACUGGAACUGAGACACGGUCCAGACUCCUACGGGAGGCAGCAGUGGGGAAUAUUGGACAAUGGGCGAAAGCCUGAUCCAGCCAUGCCGCGUGUGUGAAGAAGGUCUUCGGAUUGUAAAGCACUUUAAGUUGGGAGGAAGGGCAGUAAGUUAAUACCUUGCUGUUUUGACGUUACCGACAGAAUAAGCACCGGCUAACUUCGUG